rnacentral:rRNA from 1 species
AGCGGAUGACCUGUGGCUGGGGGUGAAAGGCCAAUCAAACCGGGAGAUAGCUGGUUCUCCCCGAAAGCUAUUUAGGUAGCGCCUCGUGAAUUCAUCUCCGGGGGUAGAGCACUGUUUCGGCUAGGGGGCCAUCCCGGCUUACCAACCCGAUGCAAACUGCGAAUACCGGAGAAUGUUAUCACGGGAGACACACGGCGGGUGCUAACGUCCGUCGUGAAGAGGGAAACAACCCAGACCGCCAGCUAAGGUCCCAAAGUCAUGGUUAAGUGGGAAACGAUGUGGGAAGGCCCAGACAGCCAGGAUGUUGGCUUAGAAGCAGCCAUCAUUUAAAGAAAGCGUAAUAGCUCACUGGUCGAGUCGGCCUGCGCGGAAGAUGUAACGGGGCUAAACCAUGCACCGAAGCUGCGGCAGCGAACGUAUCACCCAAGACAACUUUACGGAGUUGACGAUUGACGGAGCGAAGCGACGUCAAAGCGUUCAUUAAAGUCGAGUUGGCUUAGGGAUACGUUCGUUGGGUAGGGGAGCGUUCUGUAAGCCUGUGAAGGUGUGUCGUGAGGCAUGCUGGAGGUAUCAGAAGUGCGAAUGCUGACAUAAGUAACGAUAAAGCGGGUGAAAAGCCCGCUCGCCGGAAGACCAAGGGUUCCUGUCCAACGUUAAUCGGGGCAGGGUGAGUCGACCCCUAAGGCGAGGCCGAAAGGCGUAGUCGAUGGGAAACGGGUUAAUAUUCCCGUACUUGGUGUUACUGCGAAGGGGGGACGGAGAAGGCUAUGUUGGCCGGGCGACGGUUGUCCCGGUUUAAGCGUGUAGGUGUGUGUUCCAGGUAAAUCCGGUUCACUUUAACACUGAGGCGUGACGACGAGGCACUACGGUGCUGAAGCAACAAAUGCCCUGCUUCCAGGAAAAGCCUCUAAGCAUCAGGUAACAUCAAAUCGUACCCCAAACCGACACAGGUGGUCAGGUAGAGAAUACCAAGGCGCUUGAGAGAACUCGGGUGAAGGAACUAGGCAAAAUGGUGCCGUAACUUCGGGAGAAGGCACGCUGACACGUAGGUGAAGUGAUUUACUCAUGGAGCUGAAGUCAGUCGAAGAUACCAGCUGGCUGCAACUGUUUAUUAAAAACACAGCACUGUGCAAACACGAAAGUGGACGUAUACGGUGUGACGCCUGCCCGGUGCCGGAAGGUUAAUUGAUGGGGUCAGCGCAAGCGAAGCUCCUGAUCGAAGCCCCGGUAAACGGCGGCCGUAACUAUAACGGUCCUAAGGUAGCGAAAUUCCUUGUCGGGUAAGUUCCGACCUGCACGAAUGGCGUAAUGAUGGCCAGGCUGUCUCCACCCGAGACUCAGUGAAAUUGAACUCGCUGUGAAGAUGCAGUGUACCCGCGGCAAGACGGAAAGACCCCGUGAACCUUUACUAUAGCUUGACACUGAACAUUGAGCCUUGAUGUGUAGGAUAGGUGGGAGGCUUUGAAGUGUGGACGCCAGUCUGCAUGGAGCCGACCUUGAAAUACCACCCUUUAAUGUUUGAUGUUCUAACGUGGACCCGUAAUCCGGGUUGCGGACAGUGUCUGGUGGGUAGUUUGACUGGGGCGGUCUCCUCCUAAAGAGUAACGGAGGAGCACGAAGGUUGGCUAAUCCUGGUCGGACAUCAGGAGGUUAGUGCAAUGGCAUAAGCCAGCUUGACUGCGAGCGUGACGGCGCGAGCAGGUGCGAAAGCAGGUCAUAGUGAUCCGGUGGUUCUGAAUGGAAGGGCCAUCGCUCAACGGAUAAAAGGUACUCCGGGGAUAACAGGCUGAUACCGCCCAAGAGUUCAUAUCGACGGCGGUGUUUGGCACCUCGAUGUCGGCUCAUCACAUCCUGGGGCUGAAGUAGGUCCCAAGGGUAUGGCUGUUCGCCAUUUAAAGUGGUACGCGAGCUGGGUUUAGAACGUCGUGAGACAGUUCGGUCCCUAUCUGCCGUGGGCGCUGGAGAACUGAGGGGGGCUGCUCCUAGUACGAGAGGACCGGAGUGGACGCAUCACUGGUGUUCGGGUUGUCAUGCCAAUGGCACUGCCCGGUAGCUAAAUGCGGAAGAGAUAAGUGCUGAAAGCAUCUAAGCACGAAACUUGCCCCGAGAUGAGUUCUCCCUGAGACUUAGAGUCUCCUGAAGGAACGUUGAAGACGACGACGUUGAUAGGCCGGGUGUGUAAGCGCAGCGAUGCGUUGAGCUAACCGGUACUAAUGAACCGUGAGGCUUAACCUUACA